rnacentral:lncRNA from 1 species
UAUCAAACUAAUAUGCAUUUAAGGACAAGAAGAAUGUUCAUAUACAUAAUCUGCACCAAGAAACCAUUAUUCCAUUACAAGUAGCAAUAAAACUAUGAAUAAGGUAUGAAUUAUUUGUUGUGGUAUCCCGAGUUUGCAUCCAGGUGAUUGCUAUGUCUCCAGCAAGUUGUUCACCAACAAGAACAUCUUAUCAGUUCCCAAGCCUAGAAACAUUAAUACAUUAUUGAAUUCUAUAUAGUAGAGAUAUUCUCCACGUUUGGUUUACCAUUUGUUGUGCUGGUGCUGGAGCAUCCGUCCAACAAUUGCAAUGGCAGCACAUAUGUGCAAAAUAAAUAUUAAGAGCAUUUAAGAUUUUACCUUAACUGAUUUAGCAUUUAUUUGGUACAAAAUCAAAGAUUAAUUAGGAGCCAUAAAUACAGGAGUUAUUUUAGGAUACNN